UAGGGAAUCUUCGGCAAUGGACGACAGUCUGACCGAGCAACGCCGCGUGAGUGAAGAAGGUUUUCGGAUCGUAAAACUCUGUUGUUAGAGAAGAACAAGGACGUUAGUAACUGAACGUCCCCUGACGGUAUCUAACCAGAAAGCCACGGCUAACUACGUGCCAGCAGCCGCGGUAAUACGUAGGUGGCAAGCGUUGUCCGGAUUUAUUGGGCGUAAAGCGAGCGCAGGCGGUUUCUUAAGUCUGAUGUGAAAGCCCCCGGCUCAACCGGGGAGGGUCAGUGGAAACUGGGAGACUUGAGUGCAGAAGAGGAGAGUGGAAUUCCAGGUGUAGCGGUGAAAUGCGUAGAUAUAUGGAGGAACACCAGUGGCGAAGGCGGCUCUCGGGUCUGUAACUGACGCUGAGGCUCGAAAGCGUGGGGAGCAAACAGG
rnacentral:rRNA from 1 species